rnacentral:rRNA from 1 species
GGUUAAUACCCUGAGUAGAUGACGGUACCAGCAUAAGAAGCACCGGCUAACUACGUGCCAGCAGCCGCGGUAAUACGUAGGGUGCGAGCGUUAAUCGGAAUUACUGGGCGUAAAGCGUGCGCAGGCGGUUGUAUAAGUCAGAUGUGAAAUCCCCGGGCUCAACCUGGGAACUGCAUUUGAGACUGUACGGCUAGAGUGUAGCAGAGGGGGGUAGAAUUCCACGUGUAGCAGUGAAAUGCGUAGAGAUGUGGAGGAAUACCGAUGGCGAAGGCAGCCCCCUGGGUUACUACUGACGCUCAUGCACGAAAGCGUGGGGAGCAAACAGGAUUAGAUACCCUGGUAGUCCACGCCCUAAACGAUGUCAACUAGGUGUUGGAAGGGUUAAACCUUUUAGUGCCGUAGCUAACA